rnacentral:rRNA from 1 species
AUUGAACGCUGGCGGCAUGCCUUACACAUGCAAGUCGAACGGUAACAGGUCUUCGGACGCUGACGAGUGGCGAACGGGUGAGUAAUACAUCGGAACGUGCCCAGUCGUGGGGGAUAACUACUCGAAAGAGUAGCUAAUACCGCAUACGAUCUGAGGAUGAAAGCGGGGGACAUUCGGGCCUCGCGCGAUUGGAGCGGCCGAUGGCCGAUUAGGUAGUUGGUGGGAUAAAAGCUUACCAAGCCGACGAUCUGUAGCUGGUCUGAGAGGCCGACCAGCCACACUGGGACUGAGACACGGCCCAGACUCCUACGGGAGGCAGCAGUGGGGAAUUUUGGACAAUGGGCGAAAGCCUGAUCCAGCAAUGCCGCGUGCAGGAUGAAGGCCUUCGGGUUGUAAACUGCUUUUGUACGGAACGAAAAAGCUCCUUCUAAUACAGGGGGCCCAUGACGGUACCGUAAGAAUAAGCACCGGCUAACUACGUGCCAGCCGCCGCAGUAA